AGCAGUUCCAUCCUGCUCCUGCUCUCCUUGCGCUGGGCCCAUGGUCAGAGCCAGGCACUUAGCCGACCAGCCCGAGCCCAGUUGUCUGUGUCAGGACCUCCAGCCUGCGGCCACCUGCACUUCAAGCACCAAGUUGGCUCUGGAAGACCUCAGGAUGGUCUGACCUAGGAACUGGCAGAGUCUUGUUAUGCAGCUCACGCUAGCCUGAAACUUACAACCUCCUGACUCUGCGUCCCAGGUGCUGGGAUUUUAGCUGCCUUGCUGCUGCUGCCUCCUGUUGAGGCCCUGGGUAAAGUCUCAGCCAAUCAGCACAAGUGCAAGUCCGGCUGCCACUGUCCCCAGGGUCUGCCAGGGGUCCCUCAACAAUCACCUCCUCGUGCUGCUGGGUGUCGAUGGCGCCAGAGUCUACCUGUCGGACGACUUUGCGAACGAUCUGGAAAAAGAGGGGAAGAGAAGGAGGGCUGGUCAAGUCUUCAGGACAACAUCUGCAAAAAACAAGGCCCCCCCCCACCUCCUACCCCCAGCAGAGGCACCAGGAGGAGAGGCCAUGGCUUCCUGUCCCCUGGAGCCAAGAAGCCUUUCUCUGCUGUCACCUAUGGGGAAUGUCAGUGGAGCUUGGACCAGGGAGCAUGAUGGCCUGCAGAGCUCCAUCAACCAUUGGCUUGGCUGAACGCAGUGCUGCCUCAGCCUCUGCCAUCCCACUCUGCUCCUUAGGAAGCUCGGUCUGGCUAUUGUGCCUCUCCAGUGCCUAAGGACAGAGGCAGGCAACCCUUUUUAUCUAUUUACCUUCUUGGUAACAAUGUUGCCCUGUUCAUCUGUGAAUUGUUCCUCCGUCACCUGCUCUCCUGGAAUAUUCCGAAGCUCAUCCCCCUGGGAUUAGAAGAAGGGAAAGACCCAGACUGCAUCACCAUGCAUGCACCACAGAGUCCCCCUCAGACUGUCCUCUGGCAUCCGAGGUCCGGCCCCGCUACCCUGCCGCUUGCCUGGGGUUACCUUCAGGAAGACCCGUCGGCGGACCACUCGGGUAGAGAUGGUCUCCUCGUCAUCGCUCAGGCCCUCGCUCUCCCCCAGCUCCUUGUCCAGUUCCUGGUGGAUGUGCUUGAGCACAAAGCACAGGGAACCCUUGACAAUAUGCAUCACAUUCUGACAGCUAACCAGGAAGAAACCUAGCAACACCAGCGUGACCAGGAGCUGCGUGAUGAAGGUCCACAUCCUCCUCUCCUCACCAGCCUGGCCCUCCAGGGACCGGGGACACCAGGGGCCCAGCUGCUGUGGAGAUCCGGUUUCUCAUUCUCUUCUUGGACUCCUGAAGUCCCCAGCCAGCCCUUCCAUUCUGUCUCUUUAACCUCUUUUCUCUUUAUCUCCUGUUUAUUCUAAACGGGAGACCAAACGGUCUCUCCCGCGCGACUCUCUUAGCUGGGACGUGGUGACCCAAAUGUCCUUCCUGCCAAACGGCCCAGGAUCUCUCCUCACACCCCAGAGGACGUCAGCCUUCUAUAAUUUUAGUAAUUUUAGCUCUCAAGCCAGCUGCUAGAGCUGUCCAACUGGGAUGAGGGGAGACAGCAGGUGCUGUAUCUUGGGCUCAGGAAGCACAUGUCAAAGUGACCGUAGAGAGGGAAACUGGGAUUGUCUACGGGUGCCAGAGGGAAAGUCUCUCAUUCAGGGACUCCAUAAAACAAGGUGUCCC
rnacentral:lncRNA from 1 species